ensembl:lncRNA
CUGCUGUAGUGGUAUGGAUAUGUUACGGGCAAGACUUUAGGGUGAAUUAUGUAGUACACAACAAUCAAACAUGCAUUUAUUUUUUUUUUUUUACAUGCUCACCAUAAGGCACACCGGAACCAAUAUGAAACAUAAAUGGAGAAAGUAUAUUAGGCCACAGAAGUAGUUAAUGCUAGUUCACUGGUCUUCUAACAAAAACAAUAUAAAAUUAUUUUCGAAAAAGUUUGAGUAAGUAAUCCAUAAAUGUUGUUUCUUGGGGGCUAGCAAGGCGUAAUCUUCGGACAUUGUCUUUGAUUGAGUCUUAAAUCCAUAAUAGUUUUGGUUGAUCGUGAACCGCAUGUAGCAGCAAUGUGAGCCAAUGAAUUUCCCCAGUGCUCCUCUGGGGCAGGGUGACUGAGAACCGUUUACUGCAGACUCUCCAGUUCUACCGAAACAUUUCAGUAGCAUGACCGACCAUUCGCUGUCAUCUUAACCAAAUGCUAAAAGCUGUAGGAAACUAAAUGUCUUCAUAAAACAAACCCAACAUUCUGAACCGCGCUAGGUGUUGGUCACUUUCUGUUCACUCGCAUCAUAUCAGUGACCGCAUCAUUUGGUUCCUUUAUGUAAAAUGGACACUUCACAUAUGUGUAUGAUCUUUAAAGGGUUUACAUUAAUUAUUUAGUUUCUACUCAGUCCUUGUCACAGUAGGUUUGAAUUGGACACACAAUGAAAGUUUAUGGAUUGUUGAUUGCAGCGUUGUAGCAUGACCCAUUUCCCUUUUUAUUUUUGUUUUCCCCCCUUUCCCUAAACCCUAAACCGUUACCUUGUGUUGGCGUUUGUCUCUAAAUCACGAGCUGAGCGAAUGCCCUCGGGAAUGCAGAUAGACAGAACAUCUGGCUUGACUUCAUAUAAGUGAAGUAUGCUGUUCGUACAUCAAACUACAGACUACACUGAAUCUGUUCAGUGGAGCAGAAGAUAAUGACUGAUUCUCAUAAGCUAUACAAGUUUUGGUAACUUUUACUUAAAGGCAGUGAUUAAUAGUUAUUUGACUCCUACAUAAAACCCACAUAAGCAUGUAUUAAGGCGUCUAACAAACGGGUGUAAUGAUUGCUUUCAUAACCCCAUAGUGUCAAGUGAGAGAUAUUUGUUGACAUAAAUCUGUGCUGCGUUAGAUCGUCAUGACAACUGACUUUGACUUUGCAGUUCAGUGUACCUAUAGUAUAUUUCUAUUAAUAUUUCCGGGAAUGCCAUGACACUGUCAUGACUGAUCAUAUUUUCAUCUUUGGUAAGUUCUUUAGUCGUUGAAUAUUUGAGCUUGUUCUAAAUCUUGUAACAGUCUCAGCACCCUAAUUGACAGUUAUAUGUAAUUACCCUGACUUCACAUCAACGUUAUAUAACUCUCACAUACCAGAAGUACUCUGAGCUGCAAAGUAUGCAUGAAUGAUGAAUGCAAGUCAUCAUCAGAACAAGCUAACGUCAGUAAAAAUUGAAUGAGGUAUGUCGUCAACUUGAUAUCAGGAUGAACAAAAGCAGACCUUUGACAGUUGGCUCCUGUUGGAAAAAGCCUUUAUGGUCAAGCUCUAGUUACUGGUAAAAUGUUGGUGUUACCAAAGGUUUUUUUUCCCUCUUGUUUAAGAGAAAGUGUAAUAUUAUCAGUAACUCAUGAGGGCAGUUUUUGUUUUUUGUUUUUGUUUGUUUGUUUUUUUUUUGUUUGUUUGUUUUUUUGUUUUUUAUAAAGAGUACAAAAUUAUUAUAUUAAAAAAAAAAAAAAGCCAGAGAAUGUAAUUCAAGUCUUGGUAUGAGAAAGAUUUGUCUUUCUCUUCUAUAGAUAAAUAAUCAGCUCAAAAUGCAAGCUAGUGGAAGAAAUGUAAAGUGUGCAAAGCCUUCCCCAGUGCAGCAUAGCUCUUUCAUAAAUUGAGAUGUUUUCCAAGGUGUGUGUGCGUGAGGGUGUGUAAGUGUUUGACUUGAUCACCUUGUGGUCCUCAGAAGCACGGAUAUCUGAAGCUUAGUAGCAGAACCUUUACCCUGGUGAGCUCAGUCUCUUUUCCCAGUCUCAGCCAAGACACACAGAAGUACAGUGUUCUGCCCAGCCUGACCCGCUGCCCGUUGGCCGUUUUACUCCGCACAUACCAACAGUAGAAUUGUUCACUUAAAGAGUAAAAGCUCAGAAUAGAUUGUAGGAGACGUGAGGAAGUUUUACUCGGGACCUUGUCGCUGCUUCUUAGGCGGAGUUUUCUGUAAGAGACUUCACGCCUCAUGACUGAUUUAUCUUAAGAGACAACUUUUUUUUUUUUCUUUUUCUUUUUUUUUUUUUUUUUUUUUUUUGAGUGUCUUCUCCUCAAACAUCAAUUUUCUAUCAGUGGUGUUUCACUGGCGUGAACGUUCAUCUCAUGAAUAUUUCUAUGCACAUUUCAUACUUAGCAUUAUAACAGGACUUGGUUCUUCAAAGGGAAACAAUCUUAUUCCGUUACUAGGAGGAUCUGAAAAUCUUUUGUUCAUACCAAAGUCUUUAAAGGUUGAGUGUUUUGUUUUUAUUUUAUUUUUUUUUUAAGUAACUUGCUGUGUGAUGAAUGGUGGUGAUAUAAAUAGGAGCGUGAAUCUGCCUUCCUUUAUAAGGGGAAAUGCCUUGUAAUAUGGUUUAGUUUUGUAAGAGUAGAUUUCUAUAGAGUAGAGAGAGAUACAGAGGAGAGAAUAUAAUAAUCACAGCUGUCUAUGGGGAUGUGUGCAACUGUUCAGCUAGCAUUAUGCGCUAAAUAAUUAGAAACUUGGGGCAGCAUAUCUGUCACAGGAAUCUCUGAUUCAUAUCUGAGUUGCUUUGUGUUUUUAAUUAGGGUUAGCUGUUUGUGUAAACAGCGUUAAAGCACAACUGCGGUGAGUGUCACUCUGUUAAUUUAUUCUAAUCAUUCGUUGGUUUAUAAUUAUUGUUUUAUUUCCCCCCUCUGGACAAUGUGCAAGACCUUCUUCAGAGAGCUGCUACUGUGUGCAUUUCUUUUCUGUCUGUUUGGGUUUUGUUUUUGUUUUUUUUCUUGUUUCUUCAUCUCCUCCUCUUCCUUGUCUUCUGCACAGUCCUGAACUGGAAGCAGACCCACGAGGAGUCUGUCACGUGUGACAUAUGCAAUAAAAAGGCGAGACGGCGAGAGCCCCAAGAGGCUGGACACAGUUUGCAAUGCAAGCACAACGUGCACACGCCACCAUUUUUAUGCAGGAAAAAAAAAGUUUAUAUCAAAGUUCACUCUUUGUGCUUAAUAUUGCUUUUUAAAAUUGUAAAAUAAAGGCUUUUUUUUUUUUCUUAAAA